rnacentral:rRNA from 1 species
CAGCAGCCGCGGGAAUACGAAGGGUGCAAGCGUUAAUCGGAAUUACUGGGCGUAAAGCGUGCGUAGGUGGUGGUUUAAGUCCGUCGUGAAAGCCCUGGGCUCAACCUGGGAAUUGCAGUGGAUACUGGGUCACUAGAGUGUGGUAGAGGAUAGUGGAAUUUCCGGUGUAGCAGUGAAAUGCGUAGAGAUCGGAAGGAACAUCUGUGGCGAAGGCGACUAUCUGGGCCAACACUGACACUGAGGCACGAAAGCGUGGGGAGCAAACAGGAUUAGAUACCCGUGUAGUCCCUGUCUCUUAUAC